GAGGUCAGAAUGAAAGAUGUUGAGAAUUACAGAGGUACAAUUGGUAAAGAGUUACCUACUCUUGAACUCAUAAAUGCUUGUUAUGCUAUCCAUAAGGUGUUUGUGAGGAAUAGGGAUCUCAACCUGACUAAAAAAUAUUAGAAUAUUUUUUGAAUUUUAUAUUUGAGGGCUAUAAAGUUCGAUAAAAUAGUGGAAGACACAAUUAGAUAAAAGUCCUAGUUUAUUG
rnacentral:lncRNA from 1 species